UACGAACUGUGCAAACGUUAUUCGGAAUCACUGGGCUUAAAGGGUGCGUAGGCGGUCAUCUAAGUAGGGUGUGAAAGCCCUCGGCUUAACCGAGGAAUUGCGCCCUAAACUGGAUGGCUGGAGUGAGAUAGGGGUGUGUGGAACUUCCGGUGGAGCGGUGAAAUGUGUUGAUAUCGGAAGGAACGCCGGUGGCGAAAGCGACACACUGGGUCUCAACUGACGCUGAGGCACGAAAGCCAGGGGAGCAAACGGG
rnacentral:rRNA from 1 species